GUCCAUGCCGUAAACGAUGUCUACUAGCCGUUGGGUCUUUGAGACUUUAGUGGCGCAGCUAACGCGAUAAGUAGACCGCCUGGGAGUACGGUCGCAAGACUAAACUCAAAUGAAUUGACGGGGCCCGCACAAGCGGUGGAGCAUGUGGUUUAAUUCGAUGCAACGCGAAGAACCUUACCUGGUCUUGACAUAGUAAGAACUUUCCAGAGAUGGAUUGGUGCCUUCGGGAACUUACAUACAGGUGCUGCAUGGCUGUCGU
rnacentral:rRNA from 1 species